rnacentral:tRNA from 1 species
UCCCUAGAGGUCCAGUGGUUAAGACUGUGCUUCUAAUGCACAGGGCCCAGAUUCAAUCCCUGGUUCGGGAA